GGCAACGUGUCCGAGUGGUUAAGGAGUAUGACUCGAAUACCUUCACAGUUGAUGAUAUCAUAUGGGUUCGCCCGCGCAAGUUCGAAUCUUGUCGUUGUCG